rnacentral:rRNA from 1 species
UACGUAGGGUGCGAGCGUUGUCCGGAAUACUGGGCGUAAAGCGUGCGCAGGCGGUUUUGUAAGUCUGUCGUGAAAUCCCCGGGCUCAACCUGGGGAAUUCGCGAUGGAGACUGCAAGGCUAGGAAUCUGGCAAGAGGGGGGUAGAAUUCCGACGUGUGGAGCAGUGAAAUGCGUAGAGAUAGUGGGAGGAACACCGAUGGCGAAGGCAGCCCCCUGGGUCAAGAUUGACGCUCCAUGGCACGAAAGCGUGGGAGCAAACGAGGAUUACGAAACCGGUCGGUGAAGCAAUCCCGAAUGAGAA